rnacentral:rRNA from 1 species
GACGAACGCUGGCGGCGUGCUUAACACAUGCAAGUCGAACGGAAAGGCCCCUUUGGGGGUCCUCGAGUGGCGAACGGGUGAGUAACACGUGAGUAACCUGCCCUUGACUUCGGGAUAACUUCAGGAAACUGGGGCUAAUACCGGAUAGGAAUCCUUGCUGCAUGGGGGGGGUUGGAAAGCUUCGGCGGUUUUGGAUGGACUCGCGGCUUAUCAGCUUGUUGGUGGGGUAGUGGCUUACCAAGGCUUUGACGGGUAGCCGGCCUGAGAGGGCGACCGGCCACAUUGGGACUGAGAGACGGCCCAGGUGCCGACGGGAGGCAGCAGUGGGGAAGAAUGCACAAGGGGCGGAAGCCGGAUGCAGCAACGCCGCGUGCGGGAUGACGGCCUUCGGGUUGAAAACCGCUUUCAGCAGGGGCGAAGCUUGUGGUGACGGUACCUGCAGAAGAAGCACCGGCUAACUACGUG